ACUCCUGCGGGAGGCAGCAGUGGGGAAUAUUGCACAAUGGGCGCAAGCCUGAUGCAGCCAUGCCGCGUGUAUGAAGAAGGCCUUCGGGUUGUAAAGUACUUUCAGCGGGGAGGAAGGCAAUACGGUUAAUAACCGUGUUGAUUGACGUUACCCGCAGAAGAAGCACCGGCUAACUCCGUGCCAGCAGCCGCGGUAAUACGGAGGGUGCAAGCGUUAAUCGGAAUUACUGGGCGUAAAGCGCACGCAGGCGGUCUGUCAAGUCGGAUGUGAAAUCCCCGGGCUCAACCUGGGAACUGCAUUCGAAACUGGCAGGCUUGAGUCUUGUAGAGGGGGGUAGAAUUCCAGGUGUAGCGGUGAAAUGCGUAGAGAUCUGGAGGAAUACCGGUGGCGAAGGCGGCCCCCUGGACAAAGACUGACGCUCAGGUGCGAAAGCGUGGGGAGCAAACAGGAUUAGAUACCCCUGUAGUCCC
rnacentral:rRNA from 1 species